AGUUAAUGAACUUGAAUAAGUGUAUGUUUUGAAAACAUAAUAUAGAAAUUAUAAGUUUCUAUUAACUU
rnacentral:tRNA from 1 species